UCUGGUACCUUCCACAUCAACGCAUUCACAAACCGAGUGAAGCGAGACUUUCGGACUCUUUAAGGAUACUCUUGAGGGAAAAUGGAUCCUUGCGAUUGCGCCAAGACUGGAACUUGCAACUGUGGUGCCACCUGCAAGUGCACUAAUUGCCAGUGUA